AACGCAGCUUGGCAGCGCAUCUGCUUUGGGAGCAGAGGGUCGGAGGUUCAAAUCCUCU
rnacentral:tRNA from 1 species